AUACGGAGGGGGCAAGCGUUGUUCGGAAUUAUUGGGCGUAAAGGGCGCGUAGGCGGCUCUGCAAGUCAGUUGUGAAAUCCCUCGGCUUAACCGAGGAACUGCGACUGAAACUGCAGGGCUUGAGUCCCGGAGAGGGUAGCGGAAUUCCCAGUGUAGCGGUGAAAUGCGUAGAUACUGGGAGGAACACCAGUGGCGAAGGCGGCUACCUGGACGGGUACUGACGCUGAGGCGCGAAAGCGUGGGGAGCAAACAGGAUUAGAAACCCCAGUAGUCC
rnacentral:rRNA from 1 species